rnacentral:misc_RNA from 1 species
GAAGGUAAAAAUGUAACAAGGUCUCCGUAGGUGAACCUGCGGAGGGAUCAUUACAAGAACGCCCGGGCUUCGGCCUGGUUAUUCAUAACCCUUUGUUGUCCGACUCUGUUGCCUCCGGGGCGACCCUGCCUUCGGGCGGGGGCUCCGGGUGGACACUUCAAACUCUUGCGUAACUUUGCAGUCUGAGUAAACUUAAUUAAUAAAUUAAAACUUUUAACAACGGAUCUCUUGGUUCUGGCAUCGAUGAAGAACGCAGCGAAAUGCGAUAAGUAAUGUGAAUUGCAGAAUUCAGUGAAUCAUCGAAUCUUUGAACGCACAUUGCGCCCCCUGGUAUUCCGGGGGGCAUGCCUGUUCGAGCGUCAUUUCACCACUCAAGCCUCGCUUGGUAUUGGGCAACGCGGUCCGCCGCGUGCCUCAAAUCGUCCGGCUGGGUCUUCUGUCCCCUAAGCGUUGUGGAAACUAUUCGCUAAAGGGUGUUCGGGAGGCUACGCCGUAAAACAACCCCAUUUCUAAGGUUGACCUCGGAUCAGGUAGGGAUACCCGCUGAACUUAAGCAUAUCU